GCCUAAAGCAGCCGUAGCUGGCUGAACAAGUCCCCUGUUAAACCCACCGAUUUAAUCGUUGGCGUGCGGGGGAUACUGCUCGGCUAGGGGACGAGAGAGGCAGACGGUAUUCCCGGGGUAGGGGUGAAAUCCUAUAAUCCCGAGAAGACCGCCAGUGGCGAAGGCUGUCUGCUAGAACGCGCCCGACGGUGAGGGAUGAAAGCUGGGGGAGCGAACCGGAUUAGAUACCCGGGUAGUCCCAGCUGUAAACGAUGCAGACUAGGUGUUUGGACGGCCACGUGCCGUUCUAGUGCCGCAGGGAAGCUGUUAAGUCUGCCGCCUGGGGAGUACGAUCACAAGAUUGAAACUUAAAGGAAUUGGCGGGGGAGCACCACAAGGGGUGAAGCUUGCGGUUUAAUUGGAGUCAACGCCGGAAAUCUCACCGGGAGCGACAGCAGUGUGAAAGCCAGAUUAAAGGUCUUGCUAGACGAGCUGAGAGGAGGUGCAUGGCCGUCGCCAGUUCGUGCCGUGAGGUGUCCUGUUAAGUCAGGCAACGAUCGAGACCCGCGUCCUCUGUUGCAACCAGUCUUGUGCUGGGCACACUGAGGAGACCGCCACUGAUAAAGUGGAGGAAGGAGCGGGCCACGGCAGGUCCGCAUGCCCCUAA
rnacentral:rRNA from 1 species